GACGAACGCUGGCGGCGUGCUUAACACAUGCCAGUCGAACGAUGACGCCCGAGCUUGCUCGGUCUGAUUAGUGGCGAACGGGUGAGUAACACGUGAGCAACCUGCCCCUCACUCUGGGAUAACCUCGGGAAAUCGGGGCUAAUACCGGAUAUGAGCUCCUGUCGCAUGGCGGGUGUUGGAAAGUUUUUCGGUGAAGGAUGGGCUCGCGGCCUAUCAGUUUGUUGGUGAGGUAGUGGCUCACCAAGGCGAUGACGGGUAGCCGGCCUGAGAGGGCGACCGGCCACACGGGGACGGAGACACGGCCAAGACUCCUAGGGGGGGCAGGAGGGGGGAAUAUUGCAAAAGGGGCGAAAGCCUGAUGACGGGACGCCGGGGGGGGGAGGACGGCCUUCGGGUUGUAAACCCCUUUCAGCAGGGAAGAAGGGAAAGGGACGGUACCGGCAGAAGAAGGGCCGGCUAACUACGG
rnacentral:rRNA from 1 species